rnacentral:rRNA from 1 species
UACGAAGGGGGCUAGCGUUGUUCGGAAUUACUGGGCGUAAAGCGCGCGUAGGCGGUAAUCUUUGUCAGAGGUGAAAGCCUGGAGCUCAACCACAGAAUUGCCUUCGAUACUGCAUGGCUUGAGACCGGAAGAGGUUAGUGGAACUGCGAGUGUAGAGGUGAAAUUCGUAGAUAUUCGCAAGAACACCAGUGGCGAAGGCGGCUGACUGGUCCGGAUCUGACGCUGAGGCGCGAAAGCGUGGGGAGCAAACAGG